GACGAACCGUGCGAACGUUGUUCGGAAUCACUGGGCUUAAAGGGCGCGUAGGCGGCUUGCCAAGUCAGGGGUGAAAUCUUUCGGCUUAACCGGAAAAGUGCCUUUGAUACUGGCGAGCUCGAGGGAGGUAGGGGCAGAUGGAACUUCCGGUGGAGCGGUGAAAUGUGUUGAUAUCGGAAGGAACGCCGGUGGCGAAAGCGAUCUGCUGGACCUCUUCUGACGCUGAGGCGCGAAAGCCAGGGUAGCGAACGGG
rnacentral:rRNA from 1 species